GAUGAACGCUGGCGGCGUGCCUAAUACAUGCAAGUCGAGCGAAUGGAUUAAGAGCUUGCUCUUAUGAAGUUAGCGGCGGACGGGUGAGUAACACGUGGGUAACCUGCCCAUAAGACUGGGAUAACUCCGGGAAACCGGGGCUAAUACCGGAUAACAUUUUGAACCGCAUGGUUCGAAAUUGAAAGGCGGCUUCGGCUGUCACUUAUGGAUGGACCCGCGUCGCAUUAGCUAGUUGGUGAGGUAACGGCUCACCAAGGCAACGAUGCGUAGCCGACCUGAGAGGGUGAUCGGCCACACUGGGGCUGAGACACGGCCCAGACUCCUACGGGAGGCAGCAGUAGGGAAUCUUCCGCAAUGGACGAAAGUCUGACGGUGCAACGCCGCGUGAGUGAUGAAGGCUUUCGGGUCGUAAAACUCUGUUGUUAGGGAAGAACAAGUGCUAGUUGAAUAAGCUGGCACCUUGACGGUACCUAACCAGAAAGCCACGGCUAACUACGUGCCAGCCGCCGCUGUAA
rnacentral:rRNA from 1 species